rnacentral:rRNA from 1 species
UACCAGCUCUCCGAGUGGUGUGGAUGUUUAUUGGGCCUAAAGCAUCCGUAGCUGGCUGGACAAGUCCCCUGUUAAAUCCACCGAUUUAAUCGUUGGUGUGCGGGGGAUACUGUUCGGCUAGGGGACGGGAGAGGCAGACGGUAUUUUCGGGGUAGGGGUGAAAUCCUAUAAUCCCGGGAAGACACCAGUGGCGAAGGCUGUCUGCUAGAACGCGCCCGACGGUGAGGGAUGAAAGCUGGGGGAGCGAACCGGAUUAGAUACCCGGGUAGUCCCAGCUGUAAACGAUGCAGGCUAGGUGUUUGGACGGCCACGUGCCGUUCUAGUGCCGCAGGGAAGCCGUUAAGCAUGCCGCCUGGGAAGUACGAUCGCAAGAUUAGAAACUUAAAGGAAUUGGGCGGGGGAGCACCACCAGGCGUGAAGCCUGCGGUUU